rnacentral:lncRNA from 1 species
AUUCCUUCUGCUACGCCAUUAUAUGUUUGCAAGCGUCAGAAGUGCAUGCUUCUGCGCAGUUGCCCUGUGAUGAGGCAACCAACAGCCAAACAUCGCUGGCAUUCCAUUCCACACAGCUCUACUGCAUUGUGCUAGUACUAAAAGUUUCUCAGGCUCUGCGUUUGGUUUGCUUGAGAUUUUUGGAAUCUGCCUUUGGUUUAAUUGCUAGAUUCUACAGAUUCAAUUACAUACAAGCACAUUACCCCUAGGCAUAGUAGUAUCUACAUGCGUUUGGUUCAUUAUGAGAUAUUUUUAUCCGGAUUCUAAAAACCCCAUGAAAACCAAACAGACUUUCAGUCACUUCUGAAUCUCACUCUCUGCUAUGUUAGCACCACGGAUGCUGAGUGUCGCUCCUGAAAUGGAGGCAUCUUUCCUUGCGCGUGAUCAUGCAUAGGCGCAUAGCUGUGGGUGUGAAAGUUCAGAGGGCAGGAAGCGUCAUACCCCUUCAGGGGCCGCGGGUUCCGUGUUAAUAUAGGCGCCCAUUGCGCAAGGAUAACAUCAGAUGUAACAACCUUCCCUUGACCCGGUUACAUGAGAGUAAAUCUAGCUAACAGCUAACAAACAAUCUAUAUCCGUAGCUAGAGGUUGUUACAAGGAGUUCGGGAUAUACAUUAAAUAAUAUGACUAUUCUAAUAGCCUCCCUCAAUCACAGCCGUCGGAGGUUGAGAUUGACUUUAAAGUUCUCCAGCAGUUUGACCGAUAAUGCCUUAGUGAAACCGUCUGCAAUUUGUCCUUGGGAGGAAACAAAAUCAAUUUCUAGUAGCUUUUGUAGAACUCUUUCUCUUACAAAGUGAUAAUCCACCUCAAUGUGCUUGGUUCUUGCAUGAAAGAUAGGAUUGGCUGAUAAAUAUUUUGCUCCCAUGUUAUCACACCAGAGUUUAGCUGUUCUCGGACUGCUAAUAUUUAGUUCUUUGAGUAAAAUUUGUACCCACAUAAUUUCAGCUGUGGCAUUAGCAAUAGCCUUAUAUUCUGACUCCGUACUUGAUCUAGAUACUGUGGGUUGCUUACGAGCACUCCAAGAAAUAAGAUUAGAUCCUAGAAACACUGCAAAACCUCCGGUUGAUCUUCUAUCAUCAAUGCUACCAGCCCAGUCUGCAUCAGAAAAUGCGCUUACCAAAGUUGAGGGUGAUUUGUGUAUAUGCAGACCCAACUUUGUGCACUGUUUGAUAUACCUGAGGAUUCUCUUUACUGCUGCCCAGUGAACAGUUGUAGGGGCAUGAAGGAACUGACAUACCUUAUUAACAGAGAAUGCAAUGUCAGGCCUAGUGAGUGUUAAGUAUUGUAAAGCCCCAACAAUACUUCUGUAUUGUGUGGCGUCAUUGCUCCCCAACAAUGACCCUUCAUGCAGGGAUAGCUUUUCACUAGUGGACAAUGGUGAGCUAGCUGGUUUGCAGUUUGACAUUCCUACCUUUUUUAAUAAAUCUGAAGCAUAUCUCUCUUGAGUAAGAAUAAUCCCAUCAUGUACCUUGUUCACUUCUAUGCCCAAGAAAUAAUGUAGAUCACCAAGAUCUUUGAGUGCAAAUUCUCCUUUUAAAUCUCUUAGCAGUGCUGCGGUUGCUGCUUAUGUAGAGCUUGCAACAAUUAUAUCAUCAACAUAAACAAGCACAAAUACUGUAGUGUUACCCUUGUUAUAGAAAAAUAAAGAUGAAUCAGCUUUUGAUGGUGAGAAACCGAGGUUCACCAGCUUGGAACUUAGGCGAGAGUACCAUGCUCUUGGUGCUUGUUUGAGUCCAUAUAAUGCUUUAUCAAGCUUACACACAUAUUGUUUCUUUUCUGGAUCCUCAAAACCUGGUGGUUGUUGCAUGUAGACUUCUUCUUCAAGAAAACCAUGAAGGAAGGCAUUUUGAACAUCAAGUUGUCGAAGGCUCCAACCUCGAGAGAUAGCCAUAGAUAGAAUAAUACGUAUUGUAGUAGCUUUAAUGACUGGACUAAAUGUGUCUUCAUAAUCUAUUCCAUAUUGUUGCUUAAAACCUUUUGCAACUAGGCGAGCUUUAUAUCUAUCUAAGCUUCCAUCAGCCUUCCUUUUAAUUUUAUAUACCCAUUUACAACCUAUCACAUUUGUGCCUUUUUUUGGUGGAACUAGAUGCCAUGUUUCGUUAUUCAUCAGAGCAGCAUAUUCCAGAUCCAUAGCAUUCUUCCAAUGAGAAUUACUAAGUGCUUCAUCAAGACAUUGUGGCUCACCAGAGGACGUGAAGUAGCCAUACCUGAUUGUGCCAUCAGUGUAUAUUUUCUCUUUCCGGAUGCCGCUCCGCAGUCUCGUGUGUGGACGUAGGGACGUGUCAGCAGUAUCAUCAUGGGCAUGGACCGGCUCUGGCAAGAACGCGGCUGCUUCCCCUGUUUGCUGUAAAGAGAGUGCGUCCUGUAUAGUCACAUCAGCGCCUGUAGUAAUAGGGGGAAUAGGGGCUGUAGGUGCGGUACAGUGGAGCGGCACAGGAGCAGCAUGCGUGGUACAGUGGUCCGGCACAGGAGCAGCGUGCGCCUGUACAGUGUCCCGGAUUCCCUCAGAUGCAUGCGCGGUAGACUGGUCAGGUUCCUCCCCUGGCGUCAAACUUGCAACAGUGGGUAGUGAUCCAUCAAUUCGGUGAACAGGACCCCCUGCAUAUUGAUGUCUGUGCACUGCAGUAUUCUCAUCAGACAAGUUAGUAUUAACAGGGAGAAAAUCAGGAACAUCAGUAUCACGUCUAUUAGCACCUAUUUUAGUCGUGAGGGAUGGCAUUAAGAGAACUUCAGACUGUAAUCUGGCGCCAGCAUUUGGAUGGAGAGCGGAGAAAGGAAAAACAGUCUCAUCAAAUAUGACAUCUCUAGAAAUAUAAACACGUCCUGUGGAGAUAUCGAGACACUUAAAACCCUUGUGAAGAGGACUAUAGCCAAGAAAAGCACACUGCUUUGAUCUGAAUUGAAGUUUGCGAGUAUUGUAGGGGCGCAAAUUUGGCCAACAGGCACAACCAAAAACACGUAAAGAGGAAUAAUCUGGUUUUUGGUGAAAAAGACGUUCUAUAGGAGUUUGAUUAUUAAUGACUUGACUAGGUAGUCUAUUAAUAAGAUAUGUGGCUGAUAGGAAAGCUUCAUCCCAGAAUUUAAGAGGCAUAGAUGCAUGAGAUAGCAAGGAAAGGCCGACUUCAACAAUGUGGCGAUGCUUUCGUUCGGCUGCCCCAUUUUGCUGGUGUGCAUGAGGGCAAGAGACUAAAUGGGAGAUGCCAAUUUUGGUAAAGAAGGAAUUUAAUUUUUGAUAUUCUCCUCCCCAAUCUGUUUGAAUGGCACGAAUUUUUCUAUCAAAUUGCCUUUCAACAAGACGUUGGAAAUCAAUGAAUUUCUGGAAUACCUCAGAUUUUAACUUAAUAAGGUAAAUCCAGGUAAACUUGCUAUAAUCAUCAAUAAAGCUAACAUAAUAUUGUUUUCUGCCCACAGACUCAAUCGCAGGACCCCAGACAUCAGAAAAAAUAAGCUCCAAAGGAGAGUUCGAUUUACUAGAAGAAAUAGGAUAUGGCAGCUGAUGGGCUUUCGCUUGUUGGCAAGCGUUGCAUACAGACUCAUUAUUAGAUUCAACUAAACAAUGGAGUUUAUUUCUAUUAAUAAUUCGCCGAACUAUAACAGAUGAAGGAUGACCAAGACGAUCAUGCCACCGAGAGAUUGAUGGCUGGCUGACUCCACAGGCGUGACGCUUUAUUGAUGAUGACGAAGGAAGAGGGUACAGUCCUCGGUGACAUGGUCCCCUAAGCAGCGUGUGCCUAGUUGCUUGAUCCUUAAUCAAAAAGAAAUCUGGGUGAAAUUCUAUAAAGGCAGAAUUAUCUGUAGUUAAGCGAUGGACAGACACAAGAUUUUUCUUGGCUUCAGGAACAUAUAGAAUAUCUUUUAGAUGAAGCUUACGACUAGAGGUGCUAACAGAGGAAUUACCGAUGUGGCUGAUUUCCAUACCUGUACCGCUUGCGGUGUGGAUCUGAUCUCCACCGUUGUAUUUAUCUCGGAUGGACAGUUUCUCUAAUUCACCGGUGAUGUGAUCAGUGGCGCCACUAUCAGCAUACCAGUUUGUGUCAACUGUGUAUGAGCUGGUCGCGGCAGCAUCAUGGCGUUCUUCAGGGACAUAGCUUUCAUCAAAUCGGUGCCAGCAGUUGACAGCCGUAUGUCCUUUCUUAAAGCAAACUUGGCAUGGGUCACCACUUGAGCGCCUGUAGCCACGUUGCUUGCCUGCCACAGUAUGGCUGUCUUGUCCGCCAGGGCCAUGUCCCUGUCCACCUGCUCCACGGGAGUCCUGGCCGCCCACACCUGCACCGCUGUAGCCGCGGCUAGGAGGCCGAGCACGCCCACGACCGCGGCCCGGUCCUCGAGAGCGACCUCCACGACCUGCAAGAUUAGCGGAUGCCUGCUGCUCUCCUUCAUGAAUUAGAUCCAUUCUUGUUUCGUAACUCAGCAUCUGAGAAUAUAAUUCUUCAACUGAGAUUGGCUCCACCCUUGCAACGAGGGCAGAGACAAGUGAGGUAAAAUCACGGUCCAACCCGGUGAUGAUGUAUUCGACGAGUUCGUCGUCUUCGAGCGGACGUCCUGCGGCCGCCAUAUCAUCAGCAUAUCCCUUCAUCUUCGCGAAAUAUUCAGCAACAUUCAUGCUGCCUUUCUUGGUCGUCGAGAGGGCGAUGCGGAGAUUCACAGCCCGAGCCCGGGUCUGUGAGGCGAACAUCGCCUGAAUUUUUCUCCACGCAUCUGCUGCAGUCUCAGAUCUUGAGACGUGGACCAGGAUUUCCUUGGAGAUAGACGAGAGCAGGUAGCUGAGGACCUGUUGGUCCCGAGCAUCCCACUCCUCGAACGCCGGAUUUGACGUCUUCUUGCCAUCAGCGUCGGCAAUCUCCUUCUCCGGCACUGGUGUGGUUCCAGUAAGAUGGCCAAUGAGGCGAGAGCCACGCAUGGCCGCACGAACAUGGGCUUCCCAUAUGGCAUGGUUUGCUCGGGUAAGUUUUUCGGAUACUGGAUGUGCAAUGAGUGGAUUGGAGGGGGAACUCGACAUGGCUGAUUUGCAAGGUGAACUUGGCUCUGAAUACCAUGUGAAAGUUCAGAGGGCAGGAAGCGUCAUACCCCUUCAGGGGCCGCGGGUUCCGUGUUAAUAUAGGCGCCCAUUGCGCAAGGAUAACAUCAGAUGUAACAACCUUCCCUUGACCCGGUUACAUGAGAGUAAAUCUAGCUAACAGCUAACAAACAAUCUAUAUCCGUAGCUAGAGGUUGUUACAAGGAGUUCGGGAUAUACAUUAAAUAAUAUGACUAUUCUAAUAG